ACUUAGUCUAGGACCCGUAUAUGAGUUUGUAUGCAUUUCAUUUAGGACAGAUAAUCUCAACUGUUUUAGGGUAAGUUCACCAUGACGGUCAACAUGGUAACGCUGCCCGAACCACAAUCUGGGACGAAACGUCCAAAACUGACCACACCCAAAAUCGACGCUUUCGACAUAGUGCUAUCUACCAAACCAUAAACGCCUUGCCUAUUCUGAGGAGCUUAUAUGGUUCAGAGAUGGUGCUUUUAGUGGUGGUCAUUGGUAAGCGGUAAUCUAACCUUUGGUGCGGAUGCAAAAGUCGAGUUCAACAGCUCCAACGUAAAAAACCCAUUGGUAUAUGAAUAAGAGUAAUUGCUGUCCAAAACCCAAACCAAAACCAGAGCCGAAAGAAAAACAAAAACCAAAGCCGGCGGAAGAUGUAAAAAAGAAAUAAAAAUGGGAGGCUUAUCCGCAAAACACGAAGACCUCAACGCACCGAAGUACGACAAAUACCAUCGAAAAAUGUUCAGCAUGG